AACGAACGCUGGCGGCAGGCUUAACACAUGCAAGUCGAACGCCCCGCAGGGGGAGUGGCAGACGGGUGAGUAACGCGUGGGAAUCUACCCAUCUCUACGGAAUAACUCAGGGAAACUUGUGCUAAUACCGUAUACGCCCUUUGGGGGAAAGAUUUAUCGGAGAUGGAUGAGCCCGCGUUGGAUUAGCUAGUUGGUGAGGUAAAGGCCUACCAAGGCGACGAUCCAUAGCUGGUCUGAGAGGAUGAUCAGCCACAUUGGGACUGAGACACGGCCCAAACUCCUACGGGAGGCAGCAGUGGGGAAUAUUGGACAAUGGGCGCAAGCCUGAUCCAGCCAUGCCGCGUGAGUGAUGAAGGCCCUAGGGUUGUAAAGCUCUUUCACCAAUGAAGAUAAUGACUGUAGUCGGAGAAGAAGCCCCGGCUAACUUCGUGCCAGCAGCCGCCGCAGUAA
rnacentral:rRNA from 1 species